UACGAAGGGGGCUAGCGUUGCUCGGAAUGACUGGGCGUAAAGGGCGCGUAGGCGGUUCGUACAGUCAGACGUGAAAUUCCCGGGCUCAACCUGGGGGCUGCACUUGAUACGUAUGGACUGGAGUGGGGAAGAGGGUCGUGGAAUUCCCAGUGUAGAGGUGAAAUUCGUAGAUAUUGGGAAGAACACCGGUGGCGAAGGCGGCGACCUGGUCCUUGACUGACGCUGAGGCGCGAAAGCGUGGGGAGCAAACAGG
rnacentral:rRNA from 1 species